UGGUGUAGGCUAUAUUACAUGGAUUUAUUGUGAAGGUGUAGGCUAUAUUACAUGGAUUUAUUGUGAUGGUGUAGGCUAUAUUACAUGGAUUUAUUGUGAAGGUGUAGGCUAUAUUACAUGGAUUUAUUGUGAUGGUGUAGGCUAUAUUACAUGGAUUUAUUGUGAUGGUGUAGGCUAUAUUACAUGGAUUUAUUGUGAAGGUGUAGGCUAUAUUACAUGGAUUUAUUGUGAAGGUGUAGGCUAUAUUACAUGGAUUUAUUGUGAAGGUGUAGGCUAUAUUACAUGGAUUUAUUGUGAAGGUGUAGGCUAUAUUACAUGGAUUUAUUGUGAAGGUGUAGGCUAUAUUACAUGGAUUUAUUGUGAAGGUGUAGGCUAUAUUACAUGGAUUUAUUGUGAUGGUGUAGACUAUAUUACAU